UCAAACACGUGGGUGCGGUGUGCAGGCCCGGCCCACGUACGUACGUGUACAUGUACAUGUACACGUGAUACUGAGCGGAUGGUGGUCGCUUUAAUCCGUUUAUUUUCAUGACUUUUGUGUAUCAUCAACUAGACAACACGUAAGAAAUUACUGAGGAAUCGCUGGCACACCUACGUGAUGUGGACAUGUCAAGAAGUGGGCUCAAGAGAGACUCAAGUUCCAGUGAGGACUCAAGUGACAGCCACUCUGACAGUGAUGAGGAGCAAGAACAGUGGAUGGAGAAAACAGCAGGUGUUAAAGGCAAUAGCAGCGUGGUUGGUCC